AUAACAAAUGAUUUUUGUUUGGAUUUUCAAUUCCUUACUAGAUUUUAACCCGCGGUACACCGCAGGGACAAUUCAUUUUUUAAAGUUAGUAUAUAUAAAAACUUGCAAAUUGUAUUUAUCUAUAAAAUA
rnacentral:sRNA from 1 species